rnacentral:rRNA from 1 species
AUGGGGUCUUUCAAUCUGUCUUGUUUGGUCCUCAAAGGCGGCAGCCCGCUCACCACGAUCGAGGCGGUGGAUGAGGGCGUCAUUGUCUUCUCGACCACGUUCCUACAUGAUUUCAGCCGCAUCAUCUAUGUAGUCUAUGAUGCUGUCCGGGGAUCGAUUCGCAUGGCCCCGGCGCCGGAAGACCCCUCCUGGAUAUUCACCGGGCUCACUGUUCGCCUUCUCAUUGCGCGCCCGUCCAGUGGGGACGAUGACUACGUGCUGGUCCUAUUGGGGAAGAUGGAUCAACAGGGGGAUGCCCUCUUGGUAUGGCGGCCCGGCUCCUCCACCGUGCCAUGGUCUGAGGUCAAGCUGGCUAGCUUUCCCUCAGGCAUCAACGGCAAGAGCUCCUCAUACCGAGCUGAUGUCACCUUUUCGGCCAGCGGCAUGGGCUGCUGGGCGGAUCUUCUGCGAGGCGGCAUGUACUGCUUUUUGGACACCCUCUUCAACAACUACGGUGACAAACAGCCCUUGCUCGAGUUUCACCUCUUUCCCCUGCCAAAAGAGUUGGCCAACAAGAAGUCGUUGGAUCACUCUCGCAGCAACACUCGGGUGGCACAGCCAAAAGCCUACCGAACCGUGGGCGUCGUCAACAACAAAGUGUUGUUUGUCUCCAUUGACGGCUUCCUCGAGCAUGUCAAGAACAAGGACCGCACCGUGUCCGUCUGGUCGCCAUGGAUUUCGAGUCGCUCGACUAGUCGCGACUAG